AGUGAACGCUGGCGGUAGGCCUAACACAUGCAAGUCGAACGGCAGCACAGUAAGAGCUUGCUCUUACGGGUGGCGAGUGGCGGACGGGUGAGGAAUACAUCGGAAUCUACUUUUUCGUGGGGGAUAACGUAGGGAAACUUACGCUAAUACCGCAUACGACCUACGGGUGAAAGCAUGGGAUCUUCGGACCUUGCGCGAUUGAAUGAGCCGAUGUCGGAUUAGCUAGUUGGCGGGGUAAAGGCCCACCAAGGCGACGAUCCGUAGCUGGUCUGAGAGGAUGAUCAGCCACACUGGAAGUGAGACACGGUCCAGACUCCUACGGGAGGCAGCAGUGGGGAAUAUUGGACAAUGGGCGCAAGCCUGAUCCAGCCAUACCGCGUGGGUGAAGAAGGCCUUCGGGUUGUAAAGCCCUUUUGUUGGGAAAGAAAAGCAGCAGGUUAAUACCCCGCUGUUCUGACGGUACCCAAAGAAUAAGCACCGGCUAACUUCGUG
rnacentral:rRNA from 1 species